UUGACACUGAACACUGGUCCUUGAUGUGUAGGAUAGGUGGGAGGCUUUGAAGCGUGGACGCCAGUCUGCGUGGAGCCGUCCUUGAAAUACCACCCUUUAAUGGCUGGUGUUCUAACGUAGACCCGUGAUCCGGGUUGCGGACAGUGUCUGGUGGGUAG
rnacentral:rRNA from 1 species